CUCCCGCGUGCCCCCUGUUCCGCGCGCGCAACCUCGGCGGGGAUCCCGGCGCGGCGCGGCCGCACCCCGCGACAGGAGCCCGCGCAGAGCUUUUCCUAACCUCGCCGCUCGCGGACGUUCACGGUUCGCUCGUUGGACGUUCGGCCUUCGGACGCGACCGUCGUCGUAUAGAUCGCGUCGGGGUUCGUUCGCAGAGGAUUCGCGCCCGGAACACGGAUCACCCGCCCUUGGACGGUGAGUUUGAGUUCGAUUUUGCUGUCCCAUGUUGCUGACGACAAGAAUUACUAUCGUGUCUCAAGCCUCCUCUACUUUGUGUACGUGUUCAUUUUAUUUUUCAUCCCGUGCUGUAUACACGUGAAAUGCUGAUGAGGAAAUAAGUUUUAGAAUGCUCCUACAGAGUGUUUGCCGUCAAUAAAAUGUCAGGGAAAAUUGUCGGGUUACCUUUAUUUGCUGUCUAGAAUGGAUCCGACGGUUCGAACAACAAAUUUUGCGUAAUAGCCAUUUCAAAUUAUGUCUUUUUUUGCAUACUGGCAUACAUUUCU
rnacentral:lncRNA from 1 species